rnacentral:rRNA from 1 species
GACGAACGCUGGCGGCGUGCUUAACACAUGCAAGUCGAACGGAAAGGCCCUGCUUUUGUGGGGUGCUCGAGUGGCGAACGGGUGAGUAACACGUGAGUAACCUGCCCUUGACUUUGGGAUAACUUCAGGAAACUGGGGCUAAUACCGGAUAGGAGCUCCUGCUGCAUGGUGGGGGUUGGAAAGUUUCGGCGGUUGGGGAUGGACUCGCGGCUUAUCAGCUUGUUGGUGGGGUAGUGGCUUACCAAGGCUUUGACGGGUAGCCGGCAUGAGAGGGUGACCGGCCACAUUGGGACUGGGAUACGGCCCAGGCUCCUACGGGAGGCAGCAGGGGGGAAUAUUGCACAAUGGGCGGAAGCCUGAUGCAGCAACGCCGCGUGCGGGAUGACGGCCUUCGGGUUGUAAACCGCUUUCGCCUGUGACGAAGCGUGAGUGACGGUAAUGGGUAAAGAAGCACCGGCUAACUACGUG